GGGACAUGGAUUUGGGGCUCUGCAAAGAGGGGAGCCGAAUGUGAGACUGUUGAAUAAAGUGAGGUCUCUCAAAGGGAACAGAAGCAGAAAGGUCUCCCACUAGCACAGAACUCAGCCAGAAAAGCUCCUAUGAAACCCAAGAGAGCUCCUACACAGAGAAGGAGAAGCAAGCACUUAAGGUAGGCUGAAGCCAGCAGUUAAUGCCUGCAAGUUGGUCACCAUGGAAACAACACCACAAGAAAAUCUCCCUCCACUACCUCAUUCUUUAAUAUCUGAAAUUUUAAAUUUACAAAAUUAAGAUACAAAGAAUCAAUCAUGAAGCUGAAGUUUACAUGAGUGCUUUCUGCUGUUGCAUGUUGCUCAAGGCACUAUUAGAAAGAACUGUCCCUCAUCCCUCAGACAACACGGUGGGAAGAACUCUGACAACCAUCCUAUGGCAGCACAAAGGAGAUCCUGGAGCCUGGGAAGAAACAAAGUACCUGAAUUCUUGGUGACAUCCAUUGUGCUGCUACAAUAAAGCCAGCCUGCAUCUUGAUGCACCUCUGGACUUUUCAAUUACCCUAGGCAAUAAAUUAUCCUGAUUGUUUAA